rnacentral:tRNA from 1 species
AGUCUCGUGGUGUUAGGCAUGUAAGAUUGCAAAUCUUAAGGAGCAAAUUGAGCGUUUGCCGGGACUU